GAUGAACGCUGGCUUCGUGCCUAAUACAUGCAGGUCGAGCGAACGGACGAGAAUCUUGCUUCUCUGAUGUGUAGCGACGGACGGGUGACUAACACGGGGAUAACCUACCUAUACGACUGGGAUAACUUCAGGAGACCAGAGCUAAUACCGGAGAAUAUUUUGAACCGCAUGGAUCAAAAAUGAGAGACGGCCGUGCUGACACUUAUAUAUGGAUCCGCGCUGCGUUAGCUAGUUGGCCACGUAACGGCUUACCAAGGUAACGAUGCAUAGCCUGACCUGACAGGGUGAUCACGGCACACUGGAACUGACACACUGUCCAGACUCCUACGGGAGAGCAUCGGAAAGGAAUCUUCCGCAAUGGGCGAAAGCCUGACGGACCAACGCCCCGUGAGUGAAGAAGGUCUUCCGAUCGUAAAACUCUGUUAUUAUGGAAGAACCUGUGUGUAAGUCACUGUGCACAUCUUGACCGUACCUAUUCAGAAAGCCACUGCUAACUACGUGCCACCAACCUCGGGAAUACAUAGGUGGUCAGCGUUAUCCUGAAUUAUUGGGCGGAAAGCGCGCGUAUGCGGUUUUUUAAUUCUGAUGUGAAAGCCCGCGGCUCAUCCGUGAAAGGUCAUUGGAAACUGGAAAACUUGAGUGCAGAAGAGGAGAGUGGAAUUCCAUGUGUAGCGGUGAAAUGCGCAGAUAUAUGGAGGAACACCAGUGCCGAAGGCGACUUUCUGGUCUGUAACUGACGCUGAUGUGCGAAAGCGUGGGGAUCAAACAGGAUUAGAUACCCUGGUAGUCCCCGCCGUAAACGAUGAGUGCUAAGUGUUAGGGGGUUUCCGCCCCUUGCUGCUGCAGCUGACGCAUUAAGCACUCCGCCUGGGGAGUACGACCGCAAGGUUGAAACUCAAAGGAAUUGACGGGGACCCGCACAACCGGUGGAGCAUCAUGGUUUAAUUUGAAGCAACGCGAAGAGCCCUACCAAAUCUUGACAUCUUUUGACAACUCUAGAGAUAGAGCCUUCCCCUUUGGGGGACAAAGUGACAGGUGGUGCAUGGUUGUCGUCAGCUCGUGUCGUGAGAUGUUGGGUUAAGUCCCGCAACGAGCGCAACCCCUAAGGUUAGUUGCCAUCAUUAAGUUGGGCACUCUAAGCUGACUGCCGGUGACAAACCGGAGGAAGGUGGGGAUGACGUCAAAUCAUCAUGCCCCUUAUGAUUUGGGCUACACACGUGCUACAAUGGACAAUACAAAGGGCAGCGAAACCGCGAGGUCAAGCAAAUCCCAUAAACUUGUUGUCAGUUCGGAUGGUAGUCUGCAAUUGGAUUACAGGAAGCUGGAAUCGUUAGUAAUGGUAGAUCAGCAUGCUACGGUGAAUACGUUCCCGGGUCU
rnacentral:rRNA from 1 species